AUGUUUUUACCGAGUGAGUUAAAAGGAAGCUCAAGGAGUACAAAAUUACCCCGGUGUUAUUCACCAGUCGUACAUUCCAAAAAUACCCUGGGAGGUAGGUUAAGAGUAAUGGAAGAUGUUUACACGUGUACCAUGUUGAUUACAAUACGCAGAAAGAAAGGUAUGAAUGAGCCAGGCAAUGACCAAGUUGUCACUUCUUUCGGCCCAUCCGGCGACCACGCCACUACAACGGAGAUUGGAGGAGCAAAUAUCGAAGAUUUGUACCCUUCUUACGUUCCAUGGCAAUUACAUAAAGAAUUCCCGAAGGGGUUAAGACGCCUUGAGGACUGGCGAAUACCAGAUGGAGGUUUCGAGUAGGAGAAGGGGUACUUGAUUCUCGAUGAAACGACUUUAUUUACUUUCCUUUACUUACUUUCGUGUUGGCUUGCCAUCCCCUGUGUGGUAGCGCCGGCCGUGGAACAACUCUAAGAAAAGACAACAACAAAAUUGUCUUAAAUCCCUUGCCACCCUCCUUUGACCUUGACCUUUUUUACUCUUACACUUUGUAAAUAAGCAACACCAAGACAUAUCCCUUUAGUAUAGCGCCUUUAAGUCCCAUAUAAGUAAACAUUAUCUCCUGUAAAAGACAUUCGAGUGAAACAAUCGCUCUCACCGUAAAUCCUACCUCACCUCUACGAGGACUUAAUUUGCCAACAAAGUUUGGACUGUGAUAACAUCGUGGUGACGUGCAAAACAUGAACCGUCUUAGAAGAGAUAAUGACAGCGCUAGGUGUCUUAUCAUAUGAGUCUAGGUAACAGGAAAAUAUAGUACAAAUAUUCAAAGUAGUAUCUUAUAUUUAUUAUAUCAGAAAUAAAUACUUAAAUUAUGACACAUUUUGUAUAGUUCCUCACUUUAUAUAUUAUAAAAACCAAUAUAUAUGUAUAUUUUAAAGAAAAAAUGUAAUUUUGUACAGAAGAUCAACUAAACGAUAAAAUUAAAAAAAAAAAAAAAAAAAAAAAAAAAGCUGUGAACUCCAACACAAUGUGUUGAUAAGGCGCGUCAUUUACUCACACAUAUCAACCCCUUUAGUUUUCAUUUACAGAGAUUUAAAAAAGGCAAGCAGCACAACAAGAGAAUUCACGAUCCAACACUGCGAGGUCAACGACGCACCUUGACGAGACCGUGUAUUGUGAAUGUAAAAGCCUAGCUAUUCGAACGAGUUUAAGUUUUUUGAUCUGCCUCAAGCAAAAUCUUUGACCUGGAAUAUCAAGUUUCUGCGAUUUUUUACGGCAAAUCGGUAGAUUUUCGGGAUGUAGAUUGCUUACUUUCAAUCAAUGAAUGAAUAAAGCAUGGACAUGGUUGAACUUCUUUGCAUGGAAAGAUGUUUAAAAUAACAAAAUCAAGACAUAUUUAAUGCAAUUGCAUUUAUAUCGAGUCAAUUUCUCUCAAUAAUAUAACGGGAUUUAUACUACCGGUGAUUUGGGUAGUUUAGCCUCAAAAUAUCUUUAAAUCGACUUUAUCUUUCAGGAUUUCGACAGAAUUUUCCUUCCUUCGCUUAAAUUAUUCCGUAGCACUUUUCUUCAAGAAUCUGAAAGAUUUUGCUUGAGGCAGAUCAAAAACUUAAACUCGUUCGAAUAUCUCAGCGCCUUAUCAAUCGAUUUACGCGGAAAUUGGUACCCGGAGGUAUUUUUGAAUGGGGAACUCGAAUCUUGAGUCGAAUUUUGAAAAUUCGAAAAUCCAAGAUGGCGGACGUGGCCUAAAAUGCUAUCUCAGCACCUAAUCAGUCGAUUAAAGUGAAACUUGGUACCCGGUGGUAUUUUUCAAUGGGGAACUAGAAUUCUAGUCAAAUUUUCAAGAUUCGAAAAUCUAAGAUGGUAGCUGUGGCUCAAAACACUAUCUCGGUGACUAAUUAAUUGAGUUUAAUGAAACUGGACCGGAAAACCUUGGUAUUAAGAAAAGAAAGGAAAUUUUAAUAGGGGUGCAAUAGGGUUCCUUAUGUAUCUUAGGCUACGAAAUCGGAAAAUUCCUGGGUUUUUCCCAACGUGCCCAGAUUCUCCCGGAAAAUUGACUCUUCUAGAAAAGCUAGAUUUUUAAGGAAAAUUCCGAUUUCUCCAGAAAAAUUCCGAACUUUCUCAGGAUAAAUCGCACUGAUACACGUAAAUGGAGGUGUUCUUUAGAAUCAGCGCCAAAUAUCUACUCCGAAACCAUUGGAAAAUCUUCGAAAAAAAAAAAAAAAAAAAAAAAAAACGUCGACCGGUGUAAUUGUUAUGUUAAUGUAAGUCCUCAACUUUUCCUGGCUUUACUCCACUUCAGCGGGUACACGCCCACUCGAAGUUUUAAAAUUCGGUG
rnacentral:lncRNA from 1 species